rnacentral:rRNA from 1 species
AGAGUUUGAUCCUGGCUCAGGAUGAACGCUAGCUACAGGCUUAACACAUGCAAGUCGAGGGGCAGCAUGACUGAAGCUUGCUUCAGUUGAUGGCGACCGGCGUACGGGUGCGUAACGCGUAUCCAACCUGCCCUCUACUCCGGAACAGCCCGUCGAAAGGCGGAUUAAUGCCGGAUGGUGUCCACUUGGUGCAUGCCAUGGUGGACUAAAGGUAACGGUAGAGGAUGGGGAUGCGACUGAUUAGGUAGACGGCGGGGUAACGGCCCACCGUGCCGACGAUCAGUAGGGGUUCUGAGAGGAAGGUCCCCCACACUGGAACUGAGACACGGUCCAGACUCCUACGGGAGGCAGCAGUGAGGAAUAUUGGUCAAUGGGCGAGAGCCUGAACCAGCCAAGUAGCGUGAGGGAUGACUGCCCUAUGGGUUGUAAACCUCUUUUGAUUGGGAACAAAGAGCGCCACGUGUGGUGCGUUGCGUGUACCUUUCGAAUAAGCAUCGGCUAAUUCCGUGCCAGCAGCCGCGGUAAUACGGAAGAUGCGAGCGUUAUCCGGAUUUAUUGGGUUUAAAGGGAGCGUAGGCGGGCUGUUAAGUCAGCGGUCAAAUGUCAGGGCCCAACCUUGGCAUGCCGUUGAUACUGGCGGCCUUGAGUUCACACAAGGAAGGUGGAAUUCGUCGUGUAGCGGUGAAAUGCUUAGAUAUGACGAAGAACUCCGAUUGCGAAGGCAGCCUUCUGGGGUGUUACUGACGCUGAGGCUCGAAAGUGCGGGAAUCAAACAGGAUUAGAUACCCUGGUAGUCCGCACCGUAAACGAUGAGCGCCCGUCAUUGGCGACAGACAGUCAGUGACCAAGGGAAACCGUUAAGCGCUC